CCAAACAUUUAUUCCCAAUUUUAGUUCAAGCAAUCAAGCAUUAUAAAUAAUUGAAUCAAAUCAGGAAAAUGGCGAAUCAAACAUUUUGUUUUUCCUCCAAUUAUGAUAAUCACAAGUAUCGUUUUGACUUUUGUGAUAAGAAAUAUUGUGCAAUAUCCUAUAUUUUAUUAGAAGAUACUUAGAGGCGUGAUCAAGAGAAUUUAGAAAUGUACUAAAAAA
rnacentral:lncRNA from 1 species